rnacentral:lncRNA from 1 species
GCCAUUGGUCUACUUGCUUUCAGGGCCAAGGACUAGGACCCGUCAUGGUCUUCAAUAAGAUACAUUGUUGGUCACAUGUUUUACCAACUCACAACUGGAUGAAGUAUGACCGGAAGAGGAGGUAGUUGGGAGAAGCACCCUCUCAACCACCCACCUCCUCUUAUUAAAACCCUCUCGCCUUCUCUCUAAAACUUGGCCUCCAUCGCAUCUGUGGAGUUCUCCUAUCGCUACAACUCUGCCUCUCUGCUCUUCAGUUCUCCAUCUAUCCUUUCCUUUUCAUCAGUAAGUAAUCUUGGCCAUCUCCUUUCUCUUCUUCCGUACAAUUCCACUCGCAACCAAAUGAGCUCAGUUUGCUGUCGAGUUUCUAAGAUUUGGUUUUCCAAUUGUUAUUUAUAUAUGUGCAGUGGGCUCUGAGAUGGUGAUGGUGGAUGGAGUUCCAUUCCCUCCUGAGAUCGUUGCCAAACCUUUAGCUCUCCUUGGUCAUGGUAAGAAAGGAAGCCUUCAUUUUAGUUGAUGAUUUAUUCUGGAUGUAAUUAGUCCAAGCAAACCACAUUAUUAACUAGUGGCUGUACUUUUGUUUGGCAAUCCCCAAUCCACAAUAUGUCAUUUAUCUGUUAAAAAGGGGGAUAUUACACACACA